GGUGCUAACGUCCGGACUCAAAAGGGAAACAACCCAGACCGCCGUUUAAGGUCCCUAAUAUUAACUAAGUGGGAAACGAAGUGUGAAGGCUAAGACAGUCAGGAAGUUGGCUUAGAAGCAGCCAUCCUUCAAAGAAAGCGUAAUAGCUCACUGAUCGAGUCCUCAUGCGCGGAAGAUGUAACGGGGCUAAGUCAAUAACCGAAAGCGCGGAUUUGCACGUUAAGUGCAAGUGGUAGGGGAGCGUUCUGUAAGCCUGCGAAGGUGGUUCGAGAGGACUGCUGGAGGUAUCAGAAGUGCGAAUGCUGACAUGAGUAACGUUAAAGCGGGUGAAAAGCCCGCUCGCCGUAAGCCCAAGGUUUCCUGCUCUACGUUCAUCGGAGCAGGGUGAGUCGGCCCCUAAGGCCAGGCUGAGAAGCGUAGUCGAUGGGAAGCAGAUUAAUAUUUCUGCACCAUGUACAAGUGCGAUGAGGGGACGGAGCGUGAAUGAUCGGCCGGGUGUUGGAUGUCCCGGUUUGUGCGUGUAGAAGGCCGAUUGGCAAAUCCGUCGGCAGAUCUUCGAGACAAAGCAUCGAGGUUCUACGGAACCGAAGCGAUCGGAAGUGCUUCCAGGAAAAGCCUCUAAGCUUCAGCUUGUACGUGACCGUACCGUAAACCGACACUGGUGGGCGAGUUGAAUAUACUCAGGCGCUUGAGAGAACUCGGGAGAAGGAACUCGGCAAAUUGACACCGUAACUUCGGAAGAAGGUGUGCCCGUGUAACGAGGCAAGGGGAAACCCCUUGAGCGUGAAAGGGUCUCAGAGAAAUGGUGGCUGCGACUGUUUAUCAAAAACACAGCACUCUGCAAAGACGAAAGUCGACGUAUAGGGUGUGAUGCCUGCCCGGUGCUGGAAGAUUAAGUGAUGGGGUGAGAGCUCCUGAUCGAAGUCCCAGUAAACGGCGGCCGUAACUAUAACGGUCCUAAGGUAGCGAAAUUCCUUGUCGGGUAAGUUCCGACCUGCACGAAUGGCAUAAUGAUGGCCACACUGUCUCCUCCCGAGACUCAGUGAAGUUGAAAUGUUUGUGAUGAUGCAAUCUCCCCGCGGCUAGACGGAAAGACCCCAUGAACCUUUACUGUAGCUUUGCAUUGGACUUUGAACCGAUUUGUGUAGGAUAGGCGGGAGGCAGAGAAAGCGCAACGCCAGUUGUGCCGGAGCCGACGUUGAAAUACCGCCCUGAUUUGUUUGAGGUUCUAACCGCGGCCCGUAAUCCGGGUCCGGGACCGUGCAUGGCAGGCAGUUUGACUGGGGCGGUCUCCUCCUAAAGGGUAACGGAGGAGUACAAAGGUACGCUAGGUACGGUCGGAAAUCGUGCUGAUAGUGCAAUGGCAUAAGCGUGCUUGACUGCGAGACCGACAAGUCGAGCAGAUGCGAAAGCAGGUCAUAGUGAUCCGGUGGCUUCUGAAUGGAAGGGCCAUCGCUCAACGGAUAAAAGGUACUCUGGGGAUAACAGGCUGAUACCGCCCAAGAGUUCAUAUCGACGGCGGUGUUUGGCACCUCGAUGUCGGCUCAUCUCAUCCUGGGGCUGUAGCCGGUCCCAAGGGUAUGGCUGUUCGCCAUUUAAAGAGGUACGUGAGCUGGGUUUAAAACGUCGUGAGACAGUUUGGUCCCUAUCUGCCGUGGGCGCUGGAAGAUUGACGGGGGCUGCUCCUAGUACGAGAGGACCGGAGUGGACGCACCUCUGAUGUACCGGUUGUCACGCCAGUGGCAUCGCCGGGUAGUUAUGUGCGGAAGAGAUAACCGCUGAAAGCAUCUAAGCGGGAAACUUGCCUGAAGAUAAGUCUUCCCGGAGGCUUGA
rnacentral:rRNA from 1 species